GGCUGAAAUUCGCCUUCAUGAAGUCGGAAUUGCUAGUAAUGGCAGGUCAGCAUACUGCCGUGAAUACGUUCCCGGGCCUUGUACACACCGCCCGUCACACCAUGAGAGUUGGAGAUACCCGAAGCCUGUGAGCUAACUUUUAGAGGCAGCAGUCGAAGGUAGAAUCAAUGAUUGGGGUGAAGUCGUAACAAGGUAUC
rnacentral:rRNA from 1 species